AAUGUCUAUACGAUAUGGUUAAAUAUAAAUAUAAAUUAAUUUUCUUUUUAAAAUCCAAAUGUGAAAAAUAUCCAGUAGGGGUUUAAUUUAUUCAAAACUGUACGGCAUUUGAUAAUUAAAGGAAUAAAUUAUAAUUAUUAUUUUAUCUAGAUAUUAAACAAUUUCCUAUUGUGUAUUUUCGAGAUUCAUCCAUGUGAUUGUUCUGGUAACGUUAUCUGUUAUCAUCAUCUGUUUUAUAAUUAAUUUGUUUGCAUACGUGCACACGACGAUCACCCGCGAGUCUUUUAAACUCACCGACGCCUCGUCCGCGCCACCGUAUAAAAAUUAUUAUUCCUCUAAUUUUAUAAUCAACGUUUUCACUCGCUUUAAUAUUAAUAAAAAUAAAAAA